rnacentral:rRNA from 1 species
UACAGAGGUCUCAACCGUUGUUCGGAUUCAUUGGGCGUAAAGGGUGCGUAGGCGGUCGCGCAAGUCGGAUGUGAAAUCUCGGGGCUCAACCCCGAAACUGCAUUCGAUACUGCGUGGCUAGAGUGCUGGAGGGGAGACUGGAAUUUACGGUGUAGCAGUGAAAUGCGUAGAUAUCGUAAGGAAGACCAGUGGCGAAGGCGAGUCCUCUGGACAGCAACUGACGCUGAGGCACGAAGGCCAGGGGAGCAAACGGG